AUGCGCUGCGGCCGCUGCUAUGGGACGCCGUCCUCGGCAUGCUCCGCCACGUGUCGGACCUGGCGGCGUCCGGCGCCACGCGGCGUUCGCGUCCAUGAUGGACCUGCAGUGGCGCGUCAUGUUCUCUGCCAGCCUGGACGAGCCGACGUCCCGCGAGUUGCACGGCUUCGCGCGGGAGGCCGUGCGAGGCCGUGGCGCACUCCCUCAGGCCCAACGUCUCGGACUUCUUCCCGGCGCUCGCGGCUGCCGACCUCCAGCACGUCAGGCACGGUUUUACCACACACUUGGCGCCCUCUAUGGCGUGUGCGGCAUCUACGACAACAACGCCGGCGCCCUCAACGGCGUUCGCCGCGACAUGCUCUCCCAUGGCACGGCUCGCCCAUGCUCUUCAUCGACGAGACGAUCCCGGCGCGGAGCUUCUUCAAGUCGUGGCAGCCAGCGGCCGUUGCAGGCACCGAGGUGCCGCGCGCCAUCCUGGUGGUGCCGGCCCCCUAG
rnacentral:rRNA from 1 species